UACGAAGGGUGCAAGCGUUACUCGGAAUUACGGGCGUAAAGCGUGCGUAGGUGGUUUGUUAAGUCUGUUGUGAAAGCCCCGGGCUCAACCUGGGAAUGGCAAUGGAUACUGGCAAGCUAGAGUGCGGUAGAGGGUAGUGGAAUUCCCGGUGUAGCGGUGAAAUGCGUAGAGAUCGGGAGGAACACCAGUGGCGAAGGCGGCUACCUGGACCAGCACUGACACUGAGGCACGAAAGCGUGGGUAGCAAACAGG
rnacentral:rRNA from 1 species